GGUGUGGCUUUCCUUUAAAUCACAUGAUCAACAGCUUUAAGAUGGAGGCAACUCGCUCAGUGUUUCCUGUUUCAUUCUUAGACUGUGGCGAUGGUAAGUAGCAGCUUUUCACUUGUUACCUGGCAUCUUUUCAGCCACCAAUGAUAGUCAUUGUAUGUUAUCAACAUUUCACUAACUAUGUUUUCUCUCAUGUUUAAAAUAGGCCGACCAAGAGCAAAAUAGAAGACAACAAUUUCUCAAAGGAGGUUCAAAACUAAUGCCUACAAGAUUACCAAGAGGAUGGUUCGGGGCUCUUACAUGACUCCGGGAAGUCAACACUUGGUGGAUGAGAUCCUUCACAGCAUGUUGUUUCUGGGCAAAAUCAACAACAUCCCCUUUUCUCCAGAAGAAAUCUUCCCUAAUCCUU